rnacentral:tRNA from 1 species
GAGGAUAUAGCUCAGGAGUAGAGUGCAUGCCUAGCAUGCACAAGGUCCUGGGUUCAAUUCCCAGUGCCUCCA